rnacentral:rRNA from 1 species
ACUCAAAGGAAUUGACGGGGACCCGCACAAGCGGUGGAGUAUGUGGUUUAAUUCGACGCAACGCGAAAAACCUUACCUGGGCUCGAACGACUGGAAGUAACCCGAAUGAAAGUUUGGGCGACCUGUAAAGUCAGGAACCAGCCGAGGUGCUGCAUGGUUGUCGUCAGCUCGUGUCGUGAGAUGUUGGGUUAAGUCCCGCAACGAGCGCAACCCCCAUCCUGUGUUGCCACCCGAAAGGGGGAACUCUCAGGAAACUGCCCACGAUGAGUGGGAGGAAGGUGGGGACGACGUCAAAUCACCAUGGCCCUUAUGUCCAGGGCUACACACGUACUACAAUGGCCGGUACAGAGGGCUGCAAUACCGCAAGGUGGAGCUAAUCCUAAAAACCGGCCCCAGUUCGGAUCGUGGGCUGCAAUUCGCCCACGUGAAGGUGGAAUCGCUAGUAAUCGCGAAUCAGAAGGUCGCGGUGAAUACGUUCCCGGGUCUUGUACACACCGCCCGU